rnacentral:rRNA from 1 species
CAGUCGAGCGGAGAGAGGUAGCUUGCUACUGAUCUUAGCGGCGGACGGGUGAGUAAUGCUUAGGAAUCUGCCUAUUAGUGGGGGACAACAUUUCGAAAGGAAUGCUAAUACCGCAUACGUCCUACGGGAGAAAGCAGGGGAUCUUCGGACCUUGCGCUAAUAGAUGAGCCUAAGUCGGAUUAGCUAGUUGGUGGGGUAAAGGCCUACCAAGGCGACGAUCUGUAGCGGGUCUGAGAGGAUGAUCCGCCACACUGGGACUGAGACACGGCCCAGACUCCUACGGGAGGCAGCAGUGGGGAAUAUUGGACAAUGGGCGCAAGCCUGAUCCAGCCAUGCCGCGUGUGUGAAGAAGGCCUUAUGGUUGUAAAGCACUUUAAGCGAGGAGGAGGCUACUUUAGAUAAUACCUAGAGAUAGUGGACGUUACUCGCAGAAUAAGCACCGGCUAACUCUGUGCCAGCAGCG